UCCUGUCUGCAGCUGGCAGGGUGUGUGCCAGGGCGGGGGGAGGGCCCGGCCGCGUGGUUGUGCUGCGGCUGGCUGGGCAGCCUGGCUCUCUUGGCACUCUCUCAGCUGGCUUCUCAGGAGUCUGCCUCCCAGGGCAGUGGGUGAGGGCGGGGGGGGGGAGCUGGGACUCGGUGAGGGCUGCCCUGGCUGCAGGGGACUUAGGUGUGUGUGUGGAACAUAAGCCUGGCCCAGGGGACAGACGGAAUGUCCCCAGGGGUUGGCAUAAUGGCCCUAGUCUGAGCCCAGGAGCCAGGAUUGUAAGGGGGCGUCACAGAGCACUGAGGCAUGGCAGCAAAUGCUGCAGCCCCAGGAUCCCCUGGCAAGUCCCCACUGCCCCCAUCAGGGCAGCUCCUCUUUCCACAGUGCCCAUUGGGCCUGUGCUGGGCACCCGAGGGUGUGCUCAGGUGAGCCUGCUGCCCUCCUGGCCACUAGAGGCAAAGCACGGAGCCUGAUGGCUCAGAGAGGUCAUGACUCGUCCCCUCCCUUCCUGUAGAGGCGAUGCCAAGGCCCAGAGAAGGGAGCACCCCUGCCUGGGGCUGCCCAGCCCCCGGGACAAAGCAGGGUCCAGAACCCAGGUGACCCAUCUCCCAGGUCCCCUCCUGCUUCGGAAGUAGGAGGGAAAGGGUAGGAGGGCCGAGAGAGGAGCCAGGCAGAUCUGGGGGCUCAGGAGCAGGUGGAGGAGGCCAAGGGACAGCCUCCCGGAGGGCCGGGGAGCGACACAGAUCCGCACGGCACAGGGACACUGAAGCCUCAGAGCUCGUUUCACACCAGCUGAGGUGCGACGGCUUCUCCACCCCUCCUCCCAUCACAGCCAGCUUCUUGGCCACUCGGGUGACAUCCAGGACCCCAGGCUGGGAGGUGGGAGGCACGGACUCAUAUCCUGACCCUCCACUCCCUGGCUUGGACUUAAUCUGAUUGCGAAGGAACACACUGACAAGGGGCGCACACUCCACGCCCAUCUGCAGGCCCGCUGGCUGUGAGGUAGUGAGCUCCCCGUCCUCAGGGGUAUGCGAGCAGGAACCACCAACAUGUUGGUGAAGUCGUGGAGGGCAGAGGAAAGGGGACAAGCAUCCUUCUGAGUCUCAGACACCAGGUCCCUUCUCUUCUGGGAGUCCCAUCUGCAAGGACUGUAGUAGCUGGCAUUUAGUGAGCACCUCCUGCAUACCAGGCUCUUUGCCACACUUGGCAGGCACCACUUCACUGACCCUCCCCAUACCCUGUGUGUAGGCACCGUUCCUCCCGCGCGUUCCAGAUGAGAAGA
rnacentral:lncRNA from 1 species